GCUAGGUGUGGUGAUGCAUGCCUGCAGUCCCAGCUACUUGGGAAGCUGAGGCAGGAGAAUCACUUGCACCCAGGAGGUGGAAGUUGCAGUGAGUGGAGAUCGCACCACUGCAUUCCAGCCUGGGUGACAGAGUGAGACUCUGUCUCAA
rnacentral:SRP_RNA from 2 species